ensembl:miRNA gga-mir-1615 gga-mir-1615
CUCACACUCAGGCCGCCAGGUGCCUCUGGGCAGCAUGCAGCACAGCUGAGUGCUGGCAGCUGCACAGAAGCCCUUUUGCCCUUCCCGUGUCAG